CUAAUUAAAAUCCUUCAAUGGCUCACCGUUGCUCCAGAGAUGCAGUCCAAGCCACUGAGCAUGACUAACAUGGCCCCUACCCCGAACCCUACAACAUACACUCUCCUUACCUGCCUGCUGGGUCUAAUCUCCGCCUCUUUCUCCUCCAGCAAAACCGAAUCACCUGAAAAUGCUGAGCCCUCCUCCUUUUCCCCGGGCAAGCACACUCUGGCUAAUUCAACUUAAAUGUCACUCCCCCAACAGAGCUUUCCCUGAGCCCCUGUGCCUUGUCUUCAUGGGCCUUGUUAAUCUUGAAUCAUUAUCACCAGGGCUAUCCUCCAACCAGGAUCACUGAUAUGGCUAUUCUAGUGGCUAAAAUACAGUAUUGAAAAUUUUUCACAUCAGUUGGUAAUCAGCUGUUUCCCUGAGUCCCUCAAGUGGCCCCCAAACCCCAGCCCCUCCCACGCCCCCACGCCUCCCCACGACCCGACCCAGCAACUGAAAGGGUAAAGCUGGCACAGCAGGAGGACUGAGGACCUUAUGUUGACUGAAAGCUCUCUGAGGAUGGGGAGGCACCUCCCUCACCAGCAAAGCACUAGGCACAUGGAAGCUGUCUCUCCAACUGCCACAGUCUGGCUCCUGUCUGGUCAGCUUCACCUUCCCUUCCUGCAAGACUUGUACUCUCGCUGAGAACUGUUGGGCCCGGGACAACCAAGAUGCACCCCUUUCAUGAACCCACGAGUAGGUGAGCACAUGUGUGUAUGCUACACACACACACAUACAGUGCUCACUGACUCAGUCUCAAAAAGCACAAAAUCAUAGUUUUUAGAAGCAGAAGAAAACUAAAGGAUCUUUCCAGCCAAGCCAACUGAGUCAUUUUACAGACAAGAAACCAAGACUUGGGGAAGGAAAGAUUUUGCUUCAAGUCACAAGGUCAAUUCCCUACACUGCUCUAGCUGCCUCCUGGAGUUUGGUAUUAGGUUGGCGAAAAAAGUUCAGGCUUUUCUAUAAUAUCUUACAGAAAAACCUGAAUGAACUUUUGGGUUAGGAUUAGGGUUGUUGUUCAAUUGCCAAGUCGUGAUGG